ensembl:lncRNA
UUUCUCACUGAGAUCUCAUUUUCUCAUUUGCUCCCCGUGACCUUGUGUAGGAUAAGCGGUACAGAAAAUGGAUGGAUAGAUGGAUAGAUGAUUGUUUCAAGGAUUACAAAACACUAUUAUUUAAUAAAAAUGUUCUUAUGAGAAAUCCAAAAGGUAAGUAGUUUGAGCUGAACAUGUGAACCAUUGUGUGUAAUGCUUAUUUUAUUCUAAACUGCUUGAUUUCUUGAAGGGUGUCAAUAAUUCUGGAGAUGACAUAAAUAGGCAGAUAGACAGAAGUUUGCAAAUUGACACAUAACUCUGGCAUUUAAACAUGGUUGGGGAGCAACAUCAAAUAUAUAGAAUUGUUUUCAUACCCCAUAUGAAGUCAACCAUUUCGGACAGGUUUGGCGUUUGAGACUUGCGUAUUUGAUUUUGCGCUGGAGAUAAAAGGCUGGUGUAGCCAGCAAAUUCAUGCAAAUUGUUGCCAGGGAUUUUCAGCCCAUACAGCAAGCCUACAAUUACACAUGCCACAGUGAGCCAAAUAUCUUUUUGACAGCUUCUAAGUGUUCAAAUGACUAUCUACCUACAACCCCAAUUCUAAAAAUGACAGUAUGGAUUAUUUUGUGAAUUUAUAUUUGAAAAUAUACAUUUCAAAUCUGAUGACUGAAGCACACUCCAAAAAAGUUGGGACAGUCGACUGUUUAGCGCUGUGUAACAUCAGCUUUUCUUUCAAUAACACUUAUUUAGCAUUUGGACGCUGAGUGAAGACACCAGGUGUUUAAGUUUAGCGAGCGGAAUUUUCCCCAUUCAUCCAUUAUGCAUUUCUUCAGCUGUGUAACUCUACAGGGACUUCGUUGCCUUAUUUUGCGCUUCAUAAUGCGCUACACGUUCUCAAAGGGAGACGGGGACUGCAGCAGGCCAUGCUCGCACCAGCACUCUCUGCUUACGCAACCAUGCGCUUGUAGUCCGGGCCGAAUGUGGUUUGACGUUGUCCUGCUCUGGAUGGACGCGUAUGUUGCUCCAAAAUGUGUACAUAUCUUUCUGCAUUAAUGCUGCCCUCACAGAUGUGUGAGUUAUCCAUACCAUGGGCGCUGACACACCCCCAUACCACAGGCACUGACACGCCCCCAUACCAUAGGCACUGACACGCCCCCAUACCAUAAGCACUGACACGCCCCCAUACCAUAGGCACUGACACGCCCCCAUGCCAUGACAGACGCUGGAUUUUGGACCUGACGCUGAUAACAGCUCGGACGGUCCUCUUCCUCUUCGCCCCGGAGAACACGACGGCUGUUUUGUCCAAAAACUAUUUGAGAUGUCGACUCGUCGGACCACAAAACACGAUCCCACUGUGCUACUGUCCAUCUCAGAUGAGCCCGAGUCCAGAGAAGUGGGCGGAGCUUCUGGACAGUGUCGAUGUUUGGCUUCUGCUUUGCAUAGUAAAGCCUUAACUCGCAUCUGUGGAUGCAGCGGCGAAUGGUGUCGACUGACAAAGAUUUACCAAAGUAUUCCCGAGCCCAUGUCAGGAUCUCAUUACAGACUCAUGAGGGUUUUUAAGACAGUGACGUCUGAGGGAUCGGAGAUCACGCGUAUUCAGAAGCGGUUUUCAGCUUCGCCCUUUACGCACCGAGAUUCGACCGGAUUCGUUGAAUAUUUUAAUUAUAUUGUGCGCUGUAGAAGGUGAAACGCCCAAAAUCCUACCGAUUUGUCUUUGGGGAAUGUUCUUCUCAAAGUUUUGGAUUAUUCACUGACGCAUCUUCGACCCGUCCUCGCUCUUGAAGAACUAGGCCUUUUUUGGAGGCUCCUUAUAUACUAUGAUUCGACGAUCGCCUCACCCGUUUCACAUCACCUUCUUAUUUCAACUUCUCACAUCGCUAUUAGUCCUAAACGACCUCUGUCCCACUUUCAAAAUAAACAAA